rnacentral:misc_RNA from 1 species
AACAGUGGUUCUCAUUCUGGAAAUCAUGUUAUUGCUCCUCGAAACCGUCCUAGUCUUGUUCGUCUGCUUGACUUUACAAAGGAUGUAAAUUCUGCAAUGGAGGCAUCUAGAAAAGCACAGAUUGCUUUUGCAGCUGCCACAAACGUUGGAGAGGCAGAGAAUAAGGACGCUUUCAUUUCAGUUAAACGGGUUAUUGACUUCAGUUUCCAGGAUGUAGAGGAG